UGGGUGAAUAAAACCCAAAGGCGAAAUAAAAGUAAAGAGUAGAGUUUAUAARGAAAAAGAUUUCUUUUUCUUUUAUAUCUCUCUURAGGGAAGAUGAAAGUUUAAUUAAUAAUAUAUUUUUAUAUAUUGUUAAUAUAAAUUUUUCGCACUCCCAGGGCGCUUGUUUCACGCUUUGCGUGUCAAUGCGCACCUAGAGCGUACACGCUGAUACCCGAAAGAUGGUGAACUAUGCCUGGCCAGGACGAAGCCAGGGGAAACCCUGGUGGAGGUCCGCAGCGAUUCUGACGUGCAAAUCGAUCGUCGGAGCUGGGUAUAGGGGCGAAAGACCAAUCGAACCAUCUAGUAGCUGGUUCCCUCUGAAGUUUCCCUCAGGAUAGCUUGCGCUCGGUUGAGAAGAGUCUCAUCCGGUAGAGCGAAUGAUUAGAGGCAUUGGGGUCGAAACGACCUCAACCUAUUCUCAAACUCCAAAUAGAUGAGACCCCCGGCUUUCUUAAAAUUGAA
rnacentral:rRNA from 1 species